rnacentral:lncRNA from 1 species
GUAUUUCGCUCCCUAACCCUUGCUCCUUCUUCCUCCUUCUUCUCUCUCUCUCUUUCUCUCUCUCUUCCUUGUGUGCCUUCAGUCUGGGAGGCCCUUUGCUGAUUCCAACUGGAACAUCUAACAUGGGACACUAAUUCAGCUGACUGGAGGAAAUCUCUUCACUGCUGGCGCUGACAACGGAAGACUGAGGGUGACCGGGAUCCUUCACCCCCAUGCCUAGUGAGUCCACAGAACCCAGGGUAAUUGGGAUGGUGUCCGAUGGUGUUACUCCUGCAGUCAAUCCGAGACCAAGAAACUCUCCACCCCACCUCAGCAGGAAGUAGCCAGAAAGAACACGUCGCCCCCUCAUCCUUUUAUAACUAUAGGGUCUGCAAUGACAGCGCAGGAGCACCGUCAUCUUGGACAAAUACCGCCACUUUCAUUUCCAGCUCCCUUUCUAGCCUCACGCAUUUCAAGGAAAUCACUUCUCUUCUAACUACAAGCAGCCAGAAAAGAACAGACAAUAAAACACAGAUAAGACAGCUCAGGCACAGAGGAAGGCAGGGAGAAAGUCUCUUGGGUAACUGCCAAACUUCACCUUCAUACAAGGGGCCCCAGUGAAACAGUGGGCCUUAAUAAGCACAUUCCUUUCCCUUCAGGUGCACUAAGAUAGGGAAGCUAAAGGCAGACUCGGGAUGCCUGCAACUGCAGGAAGAUGUAUUGGAACAGACACAAAACUCUCCCUCCCAGAUAAGCACAACAAAGAGACACAGAAGCAGUCCAAGCCUCUGAUAAACUCUCCCACCCUAAAUCCUUAAAAAUUCUUAGUCUGUAAGAGAGUGCGGCUUCUGACGUAACUCAGAAGGGUCAGAAGUCCCUCCCAGGUUUAAAAUAAAUCUGUUGACUGUCAAGCCACCCUUCAUGUUUCUCUCCUCUUUCUUUAAUUCUUACAGAGGCUGCAGUGAGCUAUCAUACCACUGCACUCCAGCCUGGGUGACAGACCAAGACCCUGUCUCAAAAAAAAAAAAAAAAAGAAGCCCUGGCGAGGUGGCUCAUGCCUGUAAUCCCAGCACUUUGGGAGGCCGAGAAGGGUAGAUCACUUGAGGAAGUGGGCAAGACAAGAAGCCUGGUGAGGAGCCACCGUGAGGCAGUUUCU